ACGUGAUCUGAGUUCAGACCGGAGCAAUCCAGGUCAGUUUCUAUCUAUAAAGGGCUUUUUCUAGUACGAAAGGACCGAAAAAGCACGGCCUAUGUUUUAUAUAAGCCGUACUUAUUAAAUUAUGAUUAAAACUUAAUAAAUAAAUAACCUCCUAAACAUCUCAAGAAAAGAGU
rnacentral:rRNA from 1 species